AACGAACGCUGGCGGCAUGCCUAACACAUGCAAGUCGAACGAGACCUUCGGGUCUAGUGGCGCACGGGUGCGUAACGCGUGGGAAUCUGCCCUUGGGUGCGGAAUAACAGUUAGAAAUGACUGCUAAUACCGCAUAAUGACUCCGGUCCCAAGAUUUCUGGCCCAAGGAUGAGCCCGCGUCGGAUUAGCUAGUUGGUGAGGUAAAAGCUCACCAAGGCGACGAUCCGUAGCUGGUCUGGGAGGAUGAUCAGCCACACUGGGACUGAGACACGGACCAGACUCCUACGGGAGGCAGCAGUGGGGAAUAUUAGACAAUGGGCGAAAGCCUAGUCCAGCAAUGCCGCGUGAGUGAUGAAGGCCUUAGGGUUGUAAAGCUCUUUUACCCGGGAUGAUAAUGACAGUACCGGGAGAAUAAGCCCCGGCUAACUCCGUGCCAGCCGCCGCAGUAAGAC
rnacentral:rRNA from 1 species